GACAGAGGAUGGCAAGCGUUAUCCGGAAUGAUUGGGCGUAAAGCGUCUGUAGGUGGCUUUUUAAGUCCGCCGUCAAAUCCCAGGGCUCAACCCUGGACACGGGCGGUGGAAACUACCGAAGCUGGAGUACGGUAGGGGCAGAGGGAAUUUCCGGUGGAGCGGUGAAAUGCGGUAGAGGAUCGGAAAGAACACCAACGGCGAAAGCAACUCUGCUGGGCCGACACUGACACUGAGAGACGAAACGCUAGGGGAGCGAAUGGG
rnacentral:rRNA from 1 species